rnacentral:rRNA from 1 species
CACUUUAUUUGAUUUCCUUCGGGAUUGAUUAUUUUGUGACUGAGUGGCGGACGGGUGAGUAACGCGUGGGUAACCUGCCUUGUACAGGGGGAUAACAGUUGGAAACGGCUGCUAAUACCGCAUAAGCGCACAGUACCGCAUGGUAUAGUGUGAAAAACUCCGGUGGUAUAAGAUGGACCCGCGUUUGAUUAGCUAGUUGGUGGGGUAACGGCCUACCAAGGCGACGAUCAAUAGCCGACCUGAGAGGGUGACCGGCCACAUUGGGACUGAGACACGGCCCAAACUCC